UCCAGAGUUUGAUCAUGGCUCAGAUUGAACGCUGGCGGCAGGCUUAACACAUGCAAGUCGAGCGGUAGCACAGGGGAGCUUGCUCCCUGGGUGACGAGCGGCGGACGGGUGAGUAAUGUCUGGGAAACUGCCUGAUGGAGAGGGAUAACUACUGGAAACGGUAGCUAAUACCGCAUAACGUCGCAAGACCAAAGAGGGGGACCUUCGGGCCUCUUGCCAUCAGAUGUGCCCAGAUGGGAUUAGCUAGUAGGUGGGGUAAUGGCUCACCUAGGCGACGAUCCCUAGCUGGUCUGAGAGGAUGACCAGCCACACUGGAACUGAGACACGGUCCAGACUCCUACGGGAGGCAGCAGUGGGGAAUAUUGCACAAUGGGCGCAAGCCUGAUGCAGCCAUGCCGCGUGUGUGAAAAAGGCCUUCGGGUUGUAAAGCACUUUCAGCGCGGAGGAAGGUGGUGAACUUAAUACGUUCAUCAAUUGACGUUACUCGCAGAAGAAGCACCGGCUAACUCCGUGCCAGCAGCCGCGGUAAUACGGAGGGUGCAAGCGCUAAGCGGAAUUACUGGGCGUAAAGCGCACGCAGGCGGUUUGUUAAGUCAGAUGUGAAAUCCCCGGGCUCAACCUGGGAACUGCAUUUGAAACUGGCAAGCUAGAGUCUUGUAGAGGGGGGUAGAAUUCCAUGUGUAGCGGUGAAAUGCGUAGAGAUCUGGAGGAAUACCGGUGGCGAAGGCGGCCCCCUGGACGAAGACUGACGGUCUGGUGCGAAAGCGUGGGGAGCAAACAGGAUUAGAUACCCUGGUAGUUCACGCUGUAAACGAUGUCGAUUUGGAGGUUGUGCCCUUGAGGCGUGGCUUCCGGAGCUAACGCGUUAAAUCGACCGCCUGGGGAGUACGGCCGCAAGGUUAAAACUCAAAUGAAUUGACGGGGGCCCGCACAAGCGGUGGAGAAUGUGCUUUAAUUCGAUGCAACGCGAAGAACCUUACCUACUCUUGACAUCCAGAGAACUUUCCAGAGAUGGAUUGGUGCCUUCGGGAACUCUGAGACAGGUGCUGCAUGGCUGUCGUCAGCUCGUGUUGUGAAAUGUUGGGUUAAGUCCCGCAACGAGCGCAACCCUUAUCCUUUGUUGCCAGCGGUUCGGCCGGGAACUCAAAGGAGACUGCCAGUGAUAAACUGGAGGAAGGUGGGGAUGACGUCAAGUCAUCAUG
rnacentral:rRNA from 1 species